GUUAUUGCUUUGAAGGGAAGAAGUAGUUCUUUUAUCACUAUAAACAGAGAGCCAUUGGUCGGUGCAAAAUGGCAUAAAUAAAAGAAUGAAUUACCUCCUGGAGCUUUCACUGGGAAAGUUAUUUUAAAUUAGUAGCAGUGAACGGCGUGGACCGUUAUUCUAAUGAAGUGGAGAAUCUAUUUUCUCAAGUUAUGGGUGGUACCGCGCUGAUUUGGCGUCCCUGCA
rnacentral:ncRNA from 1 species